rnacentral:siRNA from 1 species
AACCAAACAUUUAAGUCUGCUU